UUUUUUUCUUGUGUGAUGUUCCAAGAGUUACAUAAAAUUUACUGGAUUACUCGUUUGAUAACCAUAUUGUAAAAUAUAUAUUCAUGUAGUCGUUUGGUUAAGAUUGAAGGAGUGUAUUCAUUGAUUAAUUUUUGCGUGAAUAUGUUAUUGUUCAUAUAUUCGUGUUAUGCCUAGGAGUGCAUAUUGUCUGUCUCAUAAUUUUUAAUGUG
rnacentral:lncRNA from 1 species